rnacentral:lncRNA from 1 species
GUCGCUAUGGGUCGCUAUGGGUCUCGCUAUGGGUCGCUAUGGGUCGCUAUGGGUGGCUAUGGGUCGCUCUGGGUCGCUAUGGGUCUCUAUGGAUCACUAUGGGUUGCGCUAUGGGUCGCUAUGGGUCGCUAUGGGUCGCUAUGGGUCUCGCUAUGGGUCGCUAUGGGUCGCUAUGGGUCGCUAUGGGUCUCGCUAUGGGUCGCUAUGGGUGGCUAUGGGUCGCUAUGGGUGGCUAUGGGUCGCUAUGGGUGGCACUAUGUGUCGCUAUGGGUCUCGCUAUGGGUCACUAUGGGUCGCUAUGGGUCGCUAGGGGUUGCUAUGGGUCGCUCUGGGUCGCAGUGGGUCGCUAUGGGUCGCUAUGGGUCGCUAAGGGUCUUGCUAUGGGUCUCUAUGGGUCGCUAUGGGUCUCUAUGGGUCACUAUGGGUCACUAUGGGUCGCUAUGUGUCGCUAUGGGUCUCGCUAUGGGUCGCUAUGGGUCGCUAUGGGUCGCAGUGGGUCGCUAUGGGUCGCUGUGGGUCGCUAUGGGUCGCAGUGGGUCGCUAUGGGUCGCUAUGGGUCGCUAUGGGUCGCUAUGGGUUGCGCUAUGGGUUGCUAUGGGUCUCUAUGUGUCUCUAUGUGUCUCAGUGGGUCGCAGUGGGUUGCUAUGGGUCGCUAUGGGUCGCAGUGGGUCAGGCUCACCGGGCAGCAGGAGGUUUCCGAAGCUGUAGCCGGCGGUGGCGGCGAUGACGAGCGCCCCCCUUCCCGCGCAUUGACCGUCACGGAUCCGGCCCCCGCUGCCCGUGGCCGCGCCGCUGAACGGGGACACCGCUGACAAAAAGAGAUGGGGGGGGGGGGAAAGGGGGCACUUGGGGGGCACAGCCCCAUAGAGAGACAGCGAUGCCCCAUAGGGAGACAAUGCUGCCCCAUAGGGAGCAGUGCCGCUGAACGGGGACACCGCUGACAAAAAGGGGGAAAAGGGGGCGAAGUGGGGGGCACUUGGGGGGCACUUGGGGGGCACUUGGGGGGCACGGCCCCAUAGAGAGAGAGCGAUGCCCCAUAGGAAGCGGCGCUGCCCCAUAGAGAGACUGCGCUGCCCCACAGAGAGACUACGCUGCCCCAUAGGAAGCGGCGCUGCCCCAUAGAGAGACAAUGCUGCCCCAUAGGAAGCGGCGCUGCCCCAUAGAGAGACAAUGCUGCCCCAUAGGGAGACAAUGCUGCCCCACAGGGAGACAACACUGCCCCAUAGGGGGACAUCGCUGCCCCAUAAGUAGCGGCGCUGCUCCAUAGGGAGACAACACUGCCCCAUAGGGAGACAAUGCUGCCCCAUAAGUAGCAGCGCUGCCCCAUAGAGAGACUACGCUGCCCCAUAGGGAGACAACACUGCCCCACAGGGAGACAACGCUGCCCCAUAAGUAGCAGCACUGCCCCAUAGGGGGACAUCGCUGCCCCAUAAGUAGCGGCGCUGCUCCAUAGGGAGACAAUGCUGCCCCAUAGGGAGCAGCACUGCCCCAUAGGGAGACAAUGCUGCCCCAUAGGGAGACAAUGCUGCCCCAUAAGGAGCGGUGCCGCUGAACGGGGACACUGCUGCCGAAAAAAGAGGGGGGGGGAAAGGAUGUGGGGGGCACUUGGGGGGCAAGGCCCCAUAGAGAGACUACGCUGCCCCAUAGGAAGCGGCGCUGCCCCAUAGAGAGACUACGCUGCCCCAUAGCGAGACAGCGAUGCCCCAUAGGGAGACAAUGCUGCCCCAUAGGGAGCAGUGCCGCUGAACGGGGACACCGCUGACAAAAAGGGGGGGAAAGGGGGCGAUGUGGGGGGCACUUGGGGGGCACGGC